AAUCAACGCUGGCGGCGUGCCUAACACAUGCAAGUCGAACGCGAAAGUCUCCUCGGAGGCGAUUAGAGUGGCGUACGGGUGAGUAACGCGUGGGUAAUCUGCCCUUGGGUGGGAGUAACCAUCGAAGAUUGGCUAAUACCGCAUAAUGCAGCGGCUCGACAUCGAGACAGUUGUUAAAGCAGCAAUGCGCCUGAGGAGGAGCCUGCGUCNGAUUAGCUAGUUGGUGGGGUAAUGGCUCACCAAGGCUACGAUCAGUAGCUGGUCUGAGAGGACGGCCAGCCACAAUGGCACUGAAACACGGGCCAUACUCCUACGGGAGGCGAGCAGUGGGGAAUUUUGCGUCAAUGGGCGAAAGGCCUAGACGCAGCAACGCCGCGUGAAGGA
rnacentral:rRNA from 1 species